rnacentral:misc_RNA from 1 species
AACGCACGAGACCUGCGGACCUGCGGAGGGAUCAUUAGUGAACGCCCUCACGGGCUUAUAACUAUUCCAAACCUCUGUGAACCGUGCCCUUCGGGGCUAUUUUACAAACAUGGUGUAAUGAACGUCAUAUAUCACAACAAAACAAAACUUUCAACAACGGAUCUCU